AUUUUUUUUACAAUAUUUGUAAAUAAGAACCUCAAAGAAGCCCAAGUCACAAAAGAGAAGACCCAGGACCGUGUUGUCUGGAGGCACAUGAUACGGAGGGCCGACCCCAAAUGAAAUGGGAAAGAGCCAGGCAAAGAAGA